AUUGAACGCUGGCGGCAGGCUUAACACAUGCAAGUCGAGCGGAGCGAGGGUGCUUGCACCUUAGCUUAGCGGCGGACGGGUGAGUAAUGCUUAGGAAUCUGCCUAUUAGUGGGGGACAACAUUCCGAAAGGAAUGCUAAUACCGCAUACGUCCUACGGGGGAAAGCAGGGGAUCUUCGGACCUUGCGCGAAUAGAUGAGCCUAAGUCGGAUUAGCUAGGUGGUGGGGUAAAGGCCUACCAAGGCGACGAUCUGUAGCGGGUCUGAGAGGAUGAUCCGCCACACUGGGACUGAGACACGGCCCAGACUCCUACGUGAGGCAGCAGUGGGGAAUAUUGGACAAUGGGGGGGACCCUGAUCCAGCCAUGCCGCGUGUGUGAAGAAGGCCUUAUGGUUGUAAAGCACUUUAAGCGAGGAGGAGGCUACUGAGACUAAUACUCUUGGAUAGUGGACGUUACUCGCAGAAUAAGCACCGGCUAACUCUGUGCCAGCCGCCGCGGUAAAAC
rnacentral:rRNA from 1 species